UUUGCUUAUUUUUCUAUAGCCUCUACAUUAGAUUGGUUUUUUGUUUGGGUUUGAUUUUUUGAAACAGGGUCUCCCUAUGUAGGUCAGGCUGGCCUUGAAUUCAUGGAGAUCCUCCAGCCUCAGCCUCCCAGGUGCUGGGAUUACAGGCAUGUGCCACCACGCCUGGCUACAUUAGAUUGUUUUUCCCAUUUUCUUCACUGUGAGCUUAGACCUAUGCCUGCCAUACAGCAGGCAUUCCAUAAAUGCACAUUGUAGAGAGUUAAUCUUAUACAAAUACUGCCUGAUCCUUUUUAUAUUGUAGUAUGGGAGACUCUAAUAGGAAGAACCAACUCACAUAAAACACAGCAGGCAUUUUCACCUACAGUCUUUACUUGAGUUCUGUCCCUUCCCAGCCCUAAAGCUAAAAAGUCAUUGUAAACAUUCCUGAUUCAGGAAAACGUGCAUAGGACAGCUCACAUAGCUGCUUGCUUCCAGGGUUUCAUGCCACAAUUCCAAAAUCCCAAAGUUUCAGCUCCAAAAUGACUUUUUAAAAAGCCCACUGUACCAACUCUGCACAACUCUGCUCCACUCAAACUGCAUGUUAACAGGACUCCGCUACCAAAGAACCCAACCUACAGACCUGCUUAUCCUGUCUUGAUGGGUGUGCCUGAAGCCAAUAGUAUGAAGCCUGAAGAGCAGACAUCAUCUUUGAAAGUGGGGUUCCCUUUUUAGUACACACCUCCUGUCUGCUGCUGGAACACAUCAAUUGUAUCUUCGUCCUCCAUUUCCAACUGUGCAGCCAUAGCAAGCGCCCGAGUCUUCUCAGCUGCCACUUCACAAAAG
ensembl:lncRNA